rnacentral:rRNA from 1 species
GUGACUGCGUACCUUUUGUAUAAUGGGUCAGCGACUUAUAUUCUGUAGCAAGGUUAACCGUAUAGGGGAGCCGAAGGGAAACCGAGUCUUAACUGGGCGUUAAGUUGCAGGGUAUAGACCCGAAACCCGGUGAUCUAGCCAUGGGCAGGUUGAAGGUUGGGUAACACUAACUGGAGGACCGAACCGACUAAUGUUGAAAAAUUAGCGGAUGACCUGUGGCUGGGGGUGAAAGGCCAAUCAAACCGGGAGAUAGCUGGUUCUCCCCGAAAGCUAUUUAGGUAGCGCCUCGUGAACUCAUCUUCGGGGGUAGAGCACUGUUUCGGCUAGGGGGCCAUCCCGGCUUACCAACCCGAUGCAAACUACGAAUACCGAAGAAUGUUAUCACGGGAGACACACGGCGGGUGCUAACGUCCGUCGUGAAGAGGGAAACAACCCAGACCGCCAGCUAAGGUCCCAAAGUCAUGGUUAAGUGGGAAACGAUGUGGGAAGGCACAGACAGCCAGGAUGUUGGCUUAGAAGCAGCCAUCAUUUAAAGAAAGCGUAAUAGCUCACUGGUCGAGUCGGCCUGCGCGGAAGAUGUAACGGGGCUAAACCAUGCACCGAAGCUGCGGCAGCGACACUAUGUGUUGUUGGGUAGGGGAGCGUUCUGUAAGCCGUUGAAGGUGUGCUGUGAGGCAUGCUGGAGGUAUCAGAAGUGCGAAUGCUGACAUAAGUAACGAUAAAGCGGGUGAAAAGCCCGCUCGCCGGAAGACCAAGGGUUCCUGUCCAACGUUAAUCGGGGCAGGGUGAGUCGACCCCUAAGGCGAGGCCGAAAGGCGUAGUCGAUGGGAAACAGGUUAAUAUUCCUGUACUUGGUGUUACUGCGAAGGGGGGACGGAGAAGGCUAUGUCAGCCGGGCGACGGUUGUCCCGGUUUAAGCAUGUAGGCGGAGGUUCCAGGUAAAUCCGGUACCUUUUAACGCUGAGGUGUGAUGACGAGGCACUACGGUGCUGAAGUGAUAAAUGCCCUGCUUCCAGGAAAAGCCUCUAAGCAUCAGGUAACACGAAAUCGUACCCCAAACCGACACAGGUGGUCAGGUAGAGAAUACCAAGGCGCUUGAGAGAACUCGGGUGAAGGAACUAGGCAAAAUGGUGCCGUAACUUCGGGAGAAGGCACGCUGAUAUGUAGGUGAAGCCCCUGCGGGCGGAGCUGAAAUCAGUCGAAGAUACCAGCUGGCUGCAACUGUUUAUUAAAAACACAGCACUGUGCAAACACGAAAGUGGACGUAUACGGUGUGACGCCUGCCCGGUGCCGGAAGGUUAAUUGAUGGGGUUAGCGGCAACGCGAAGCUCUUGAUCGAAGCCCCGGUAAACGGCGGCCGUAACUAUAACGGUCCUAAGGUAGCGAAAUUCCUUGUCGGGUAAGUUCCGACCUGCACGAAUGGCGUAAUGAUGGCCAGGCUGUCUCCACCCGAGACUCAGUGAAAUUGAACUCGCUGUGAAGAUGCAGUGUACCCGCGGCAAGACGGAAAGACCCCGUGAACCUUUACUAUAGCUUGACACUGAACACUGGUCCUUGAUGUGUAGGAUAGGUGGGAGGCUUUGAAGCGUGGACGCCAGUCUGCGUGGAGCCAUCCUUGAAAUACCACCCUUUAAUGGCUGGUGUUCUAACGUAGACCCGUGAUCCGGGUUGCGGACAGUGUCUGGUGGGUAGUUUGACUGGGGCGGUCUCCUCCCAAAGAGUAACGGAGGAGCACGAAGGUUGGCUAAUCCUGGUCGGACAUCAGGAGGUUAGUGCAAUGGCAUAAGCCAGCUUGACUGCGAGCGUGACGGCGCGAGCAGGUGCGAAAGCAGGUCAUAGUGAUCCGGUGGUUCUGAAUGGAAGGGCCAUCGCUCAACGGAUAAAAGGUACUCCGGGGAUAACAGGCUGAUACCGCCCAAGAGUUCAUAUCGACGGCGGUGUUUGGCACCUCGAUGUCGGCUCAUCACAUCCUGGGGCUGAAGUAGGUCCCAAGGGUAUGGCUGUUCGCCAUUUAAAGUGGUACGCGAGCUGGGUUUAGAACGUCGUGAGACAGUUCGGUCCCUAUCUGCCGUGGGCGCUGGAGAAUUGAGGGGGGCUGCUCCUAGUACGAGAGGACCGGAGUGGACGCAUCACUGGUGUUCGGGUUGUCAUGCCAAUGGCACUGCCCGGUAGCUAAAUGCGGAAGAGAUAAGUGCUGAAAGCAUCUAAGCACGAAACUUGCCCCGAGAUGAGUUCUCCCUGAGACUUUAAGUCUCCUGAAGGAACGUUGAAGACGACGACGUUGAUAGGUCGGGUGUGUAAGCGCAGCGAUGCGUUGAGCUAACCGAUACUAAUGAACCGUGAGGCUUAACCUU